GCGAGAAACCUUAGCAAUGUGCGAAAGCACGACUAGGUUAAUCCGAGUGAUUUCUGCUGAAGAAAUCUUUUGUCAGUUCUAAAUCUACUGGUGAAUAAGGGGUGGGCAAGUCUGGUGUCAGCCGCCGCGGUAAA
rnacentral:rRNA from 1 species